rnacentral:misc_RNA from 1 species
UCCGGUUUGUCACCGGCAGUCUCAUUAGAGUGCCCUUGCGUAGCAACUAAUGAUAAGGGUUGCGCUCGUUGCGGGACUUAACCCAACAUCUCACGACACGAGCUGACGACAGCCAUGCAGCACCUGUGUUCAGGUUCUCUUUCGAGCACGAAGCCAUCUCUGGCAACUUCCUGACAUGUCAAGGGUAGGUAAGGUUUUUCGCGUUGCAUCGAAUUAAUCCACAUCAUCCACCGCUUGUGCGGGUCCCCGUCAAUUCCUUUGAGUUUUAAUCUUGCGACCGUACUCCCCAGGCGGUCGACUUCACGCGUUAGCUGCGUUACCGAAGGAAGGUGGGGAUGACGUACCAAGGUUGGUU